rnacentral:rRNA from 1 species
UACAGAGGGGGCAAGCGUUGUUCGGAAUUACUGGGCGUAAAGGGCUCGUAGGUGGCCAACUAAGUCGGACGUGAAAUCCCUCGGCUUAACCGGGGAACUGCGUCUGAUACUGGAUGGCUUGAGUUCGGGAGAGGGAUGCGGAAUUCCAGGUGUAGCGGUGAAAUGCGUAGAUAUCUGGAGGAACACCGGUGGCGAAGGCGGCAUCCUGGACCGACACUGACGCUGAGGCGCGAAAGCGUGGGGAGCAAACAGG